UACGUGGGUGGCAAGCGUUAUCCGGAAUUAUUGGGCGUAAAGAGCGCGCAGGUGGUUAAUUAAGUCUGAUGUGAAAGCCCACGGCUUAACCGUGGAGGGUCAUUGGAAACUGGUUGACUUGAGUGCAGAAGAGGGAAGUGGAAUUCCAUGUGUAGCGGUGAAAUGCGUAGAGAUAUGGAGGAACACCAGUGGCGAAGGCGGCUUCCUGGUCUGCAACUGACACUGAGGCGCGAAAGCGUGGGGAGCAAACAGG
rnacentral:rRNA from 1 species